rnacentral:rRNA from 1 species
UCCUACGGGAGGCAGCAGUGGGGAAUCUUGGACAAUGGGGGCAACCCUGAUCCAGCCAUGCCGCGUGAGUGAUGAAGGCCUUAGGGUCGUAAAGCUCUUUCGCCUGUGAUGAUAAUGACAGUAGCAGGUAAAGAAACCCCGGCUAACUCCGUGCCAGCAGCCGCGGUAAUACGGAGGGGGUUAGCGUUGUUCGGAAUUACUGGGCGUAAAGCGCGCGUAGGCGGACCAGAAAGUUGGGGGUGAAAUCCCGGGGCUCAACCCCGGAACUGCCUCCAAAACUCCUGGUCUUGAGUUCGAGAGAGGUGAGUGGAAUUCCGAGUGUAGAGGUGAAAUUCGUAGAUAUUCGGAGGAACACCAGUGGCGAAGGCGGCUCACUGGCUCGAUACUGACGCUGAGGUGCGAAAGUGUGGGGAGCAAACAGGAUUAGAUACCCUGGUAGUCCACACCGUAAACGAUGAAUGCCAGACGUCGGCUAGCAUGCUAGUCGGUGUCACACCUAACGGAUUAAGCAUUCCGCCUGGGGAGUACGGCUGCAAGGUUAAAACUCAAAUGAAUUGACGG